rnacentral:rRNA from 1 species
CCUACGGGAGGCUGCAGUGGGGAAUAUUGGACAAUGGGCGAAAGCCUGAUCCAGCCAUGCCGCGUGUGUGAAGAAGGCCUUCGGGUUGUAAAGCACUUUCAGUGGGGAAGAAAGCCUUGGGGCUAAUACCCUCGAGGAAGGACAUCACCCACAGAAGAAGCACCGGCUAACUCCGUGCCAGCAGCCGCGGUAAUACAGGAGGGUGCGAGCGUUAAUCGGAAUUACUGGGCGUAAAGCGCGCGUAGGCGGUCUGAUAAGCCGGUUGUGAAAGCCCCGGGCUCAACCUGGGAACGGCAUCCGGAACUGUCAGGCUAGAGUGCAGGAGAGGAAGGUAGAAUUCCCGGUGUAGCGGUGAAAUGCGUAGAGAUCGGGAGGAAUACCAGUGGCGAAGGCGGCCUUCUGGACUGACACUGACGCUGAGGUGCGAAAGCGUGGGUAGCAAACAGGAUUAGAUACCCGGGUAGUC